rnacentral:rRNA from 1 species
GCAGUCGAGCGAGCGGAACAGCAGAAUCACUUCGGUGAGGACGCUGGGAAAGUGAGCGGCGGAUGGGUGAGUAACACGUGGGGAACCUGCCCUUAAGUCUGGGAUACCACUUGGAAACAGGUGCUAAUACCGGAUAAGAAAGCAGUUCGCAUGAACAGCUUUUAAAAGGCGGCGCAAGCUGUCGCUAAAGGAUGGACCCGCGGUGCAUUAGCUAGUUGGUAAGGUAACGGCCUACCAAGGCAGUGAUGCAUAGCCGAGUUGAGAGACUGAUCGGCCACAUUGGGACUGAGACACGGCCCAAACUCCUACGGGAGGCAGCAGUAGGGAAUCUUCCACAAUGGACGCAAGUCUGAUGGAGCAACGCCGCGUGAGUGAAGAAGGUUUUCGGACCGUAAAGCUCUGUUGUUGGUGAAGAAGGAUAGAGGUAGUAACUGGCCUUUAUUUGACGGUAAUCAACCAGAAAGUCACGGCUAACUACGUGCCAGCAGCCGCGGUAAUACGUAGGUGGCAAGCGUUGUCCGGAUUUAUUGGGCGUAAAGCGAGCGCAGGCGGAAGAAUAAGUCUGAUGUGAAAGCCCUCGGCUUAACCGAGGAAUUGCAUCGGAAACUGUUUUUCUUGAGUGCAGAAGAGGAGAGUAGAACUCCAUGUGUAGCGGUGGAAUGCGUAGAUAUAUGGAAGAAUACCAGUGGCGAAGGCGGCUCUCUGGUCUGCAACUGACGCUGAGGCUCGAAAGCAUGGGUAGCGAACAGGAUUAGAUACCCUGGUAGUCCAUGCCGUAAACGAUGAGUGCUAAGUGUUUGGGAGGCUUCCGCCUCUCAGUGCUGCAGCUAACGCAUUAAGCACUCCGCCUGGGGAGUACGACCGCAAGGUUGAAACUCAAAGGAAUUGACGGGGGCCCGCACAAGCGGUGGAGCAUGUGGUUUAAUUCGAAGCAACGCGAAGAACCUUACCAGGUCUUGACAUCUAGUGC